UGCUUCAAUACGACAUUUUUAAGAGAUACUUCUUCAGGUAAUUGACCUUUUGGAAAUGCCAACUGGUUGAUAUCUAUCAAUAAUGGGACUUGAUUCUCCUCUUCCAUCGCAACACCACUUGGAACCCGUCUCGCUUCGAUAACCGGAGCUACCCCUUGAACCACUGUACGACUUGAUUCUCCAAUUUUGUUUAUUAUAUCCGCUGCAUUGUGAUUCUAUGCCAACAAAUUUUGUUCUCUCUCCAAAGGUGCUGACACUGGUGUAGGGUUUUCCUCUUCUGAUGGUGGUUGACGCAAUGUGUGCACGAUGACAGCAUACACAUAAUUUGAACAAAGCAAGGAUGUAAACUUCUCCAAUUUGAACUUGGAUCCUAUCUCCGCAUGAAUACAAGUAGCUACGUAAGCCGCCCAGUUGAACACCAUCCCUUCAAACGUCCCUACUACUGCAUACAAUAAUCAUUUUGACACAUAUGUGGGGUGUCGGUACAAUCCUAACCGCCUCAGUAUGAACCGCAACUAUUCCACAUAUUCUGGUGUAAUCGCCUCUUGAGUCCGCCAUCCUUGGCUCUUUUCAAAGAAUGACAUUCCUCCCUUGAAAUAUCUACCUAGGCUGAAAUCGCUUGACUCAUCAGUCCCUACUACCAUCUUUUCAAUGAGAAGAAACAACACCUUUUCUAGGAUUGUUUCAUCAAUCCCAAUAAUUUGCCCUUGAACGACACUCAAUCCAUCCUCGGAGUCGUAAUUCUCAAUGUAUUCCUCUACUAAUGACACAUUGAUUGAUGGUAAACGCUCUAAAUGGUGCAAAAACUGGAAUAGCUUCGCAGUCCAAAAAUCCCUUAUUUUUCUCUACGUCCAACACAUUUCUAACUU
rnacentral:lncRNA from 1 species